CAUAUGGUCGACCUGCAGGCGGCCGCGAAUUCACUAGUGAUUAGAGUUUGAUCAUGGCUCAGAAUCAGCAGCCGCGGUAAUACAUCGAAUUCCCGCGGCCGCCAGGAGCAUGCACCUCGGGAAUUCGCCCUAUAGUGAGUAAUGCCUAGGAAGGUAGUGGGGGAUAACGCUCGGAAACGGACGCUAAUACCGCAUACGUCCUACGGGAGAAAGCAGGGGACCUUCGGGCCUUGCGCUAUCAGAUGAGCCUAGGUCGGAUUAGCUAGUUGGUGGGGUAAUGGCUCACCAAGGCGACGAUCCGUAACUGGUCUGAGAGGAUGAUCAGUCACACUGGAACUGAGACACGGUCCAGACUCCUACGGGAGGCAGCAGUGGGGAAUAUUGGACAAUGGGCGAAAGCCUGAUCCAGC
rnacentral:rRNA from 1 species